rnacentral:rRNA from 1 species
UACGUAGGGUCCGAGCGUUGUCCGGAAUUAUUGGGCGUAAAGAGCUCGUAGGCGGUUUGUCGCGUCUGCCGUGAAAGUCCGGGGCUCAACUCCGGAUCUGCGGUGGGUACGGGCAGACUAGAGUGAUGUAGGGGAGACUGGAAUUCCUGGUGUAGCGGUGAAAUGCGCAGAUAUCAGGAGGAACACCGAUGGCGAAGGCAGGUCUCUGGGCCACUACUGACGCUGAGAAGCGAAAGCAUGGGGAGCGAACAGG